rnacentral:rRNA from 1 species
CCAGGUUGAUUCUGCCUGACGUAGACGCUAUUCCCUAAGAUUAACCCAUGCAUGUUUUUGACAUUUGAAAAAUGGACUGCUCAGUAAUACUCACUUUAUUUUAUGUAUAUUUGAAAUUAACUACGUUAAAGUGUAGAUAAGAUGUGUACAGUAAGAGUGAGACCUAUCAGCUAGUUGUUAAGGUAAUGGCUUAACAAGGCAGUGACGGGUAACGGUAUUACUUUGUAAUAUUCCGGAGAAGGAGCCUGAGAGACGGCUACUAAGUCUAAGGAUUGCAGCAGGGGCGAAACUUGACCUAUGGAUUUUAUCUGAGGCAGUUAUGGGAAGUAAUAUUAUAUUGUUUCAUAUUGUAAAAGUAUAUGAGGUGAUUAAUUGGAGGGCAAAUCAAGUGCCAGCAGCCGCGGUAAUACUUGUUCCAAGAGUGUGUAUGAUGAUUGAUGCAGUUAAAAAGUCCGUAGUUUAUUUUUAAGAAGCAAUAUGAGGUGUACUGUAUAGUUGGGAGAAAGAUGAAAUGUGACGACCCUGACUGGACGAACA